GACGAACGCUGGCGGCGUGCCUAAUACAUGCAAGUAGGACGCAGUUGCGAACGGGUGAGUAACGCGUAGGUAACUACCUAUUAGAGGGGGAUAACUAUUGGAAACGAUAGCUAAUACCGCAUACUAGUAGAUGGACCUGCGUUGUAUUAGCUAGUAGGUAGGGUAAUGGCCUACCUAGGCAACGAUACAUAGCCGACCGUAGAAGUGGGUCCGGCAAUCUGGGACUGUGACACGGCCCAGACUCCUACGGGAGGCCGCAGUAGGGAAUCUUCGGCAAUGGGGGGAACCCUGACCGGGCAACGCCGCAUUGGUGAAGAAGGUUUUCGGAUCGUAAAGCUCUGUUGUUGAGGUAGCGGUACUUAACCAGAAAGGGACGGCUAACUACGUGCCAGCAGCCGCGGUAAUAC
rnacentral:rRNA from 1 species